rnacentral:rRNA from 1 species
AGUGAACGCUGGCGGUAGGCCUAACACAUGCAAGUCGAACGGCAGCACAGUAAGAGCUUGCUCUUACGGGUGGCGAGUGGCGGACGGGUGAGGAAUACAUCGGAAUCUACUUUUUCGUGGGGGAUAACGUAGGGAAACUUACGCUAAUACCGCAUACGACCUACGGGUGAAAGCAGGGGAUCUUCGGACCUUGCGCGAUUGAAUGAGCCGAUGUCGGAUUAGCUAGUUGGCGGGGUAAAGGCCCACCAAGGCGACGAUCCGUAGCUGGUCUGAGAGGAUGAUCAGCCACACUGGAACUGAGACACGGUCCAUGCUCCUACGGGAGGCACCAGUGGGGAAUAUUGGACAAUGGGCGCAAGCCUGAUCCAGCCAUACCGCGUGGGUGAAGAAGGCCUUCGGGUUGUAAAGCCCUUUUGUUGGGAAAGAAAAGCAGCAGGUUAAUACCCCGCUGUUCUGACGGUACCCAAAGAAUAAGCACCGGCUAACUUCGUG